CCUGAAAUGGUAUAUAAGAGAGCAUGUCACUCCUUUGUUCAGCACCUCUAUGGCUCCUCAGCUCACCCAGAAUCAACGCCAAAGUCCUCAAUGUGGCCUCAGUUAGAUGAUCACAUCACCUACCACUCACUCUGCUCUAGUCACAGAGGCCUCUUUGCUAUUCUUAGAAGAAGUCAAGUAUGUGCCUGCCUCAGGGCCUUUGUACUUGUACAAAGUGUACUUUGUACACUCCUCCCCCAAUUAUCCACAUAGUCCAUCUUCUCAAUUCAUUCAAGCUUCCCUUUAAUUGUCAGAAAAUGUUUACUCACCUUCCCCCAUCAGUCAGCCCCUUUUUCUGCCCUAUUUGCUCAAACCACUUAGUUUUAUAUACAUAUGUGUGUAUAUAUGUGUGUGUGUGUGUGUAUGUAUAUGUGUAUAUAUGUGUGUGUAUAGAUAGAUAGAUACAUACAUACAUACAGUGGAGUAUUACUCGGCAAUCAAAAAGAAUGAAAUCUUGCCAUUUGCAACUACGUGGAUAGAACUAGCGGGUAUUAUGCUAAGCAAAAUUAGUCAGAGAAAAACAAAUAUCAUAUGACUUCACUCAUAUGAGGACUUUAAGACACAGAACAGAUGAACACAAGGGAAGGCAAGCAAAAAUAAUAUAAAAA